rnacentral:rRNA from 1 species
UAGGGAAUCUUCCGCAAUGGACGCAAGUCUGACGGAGCAACGCCGCGUGAGUGAAGAAGGAUUUCGGUUCGUAAAACUCUGUUGUUAGAGAAGAACAGCGCAUAGAGUAACUGUUAUGCGUGUGACGGUAUCUAACCAGAAAGCCACGGCUAACUACGUGCCAGCAGCCGCGGUAAUACGUAGGUGGCAAGCGUUGUCCGGAUUUAUUGGGCGUAAAGCGAGCGCAGGCGGUCAAUUAAGUCUGAUGUGAAAGCCCCCGGCUCAACCGGGGAGGGUCAUUGGAAACUGGAUGACUUGAGUGCAGAAGAGGAGAGUGGAAUUCCAUGUGUAGCGGUGAAAUGCGUAGAUAUAUGGAGGAACACCAGUGGCGAAGGCGACUCUCUGGUCUGUAACUGACGCUGAGGCUCGAAAGCGUGGGUAGCAAACAGG